GCGGAUAUGGCGGAAUUGGCAGACGCGCUAGAUUCAGGUUCUAGUGAGGGUUUCCUCGUACAGGUUCAAAUCCUGCUAUCCGCACCA
rnacentral:tRNA from 1 species